CCACAUUAUAGAACCAUGCUUAGUUUGUGCUCUAACUGGAAAUGACUCUUGCUCCAUUUCCCAUUAGGGAGAGAUUUGUGCUUUCAAAAUGAAAAGUCAGCAUGCUCUUUUAUAUUUAAUUUAUAUGUUGGUAAAAAGACCCAGAGGGAGAACUGGAAGUUCCUAGAUGAUCCUAGAUGGAUCUAGCUUAGACAUCAGGAUAAGGUGUUCGUAAGCAUGGGGCUGUUGAUUCAAAAAGCACUAGUUAUGGAUUUGACAUCUUUUACCAAUACUGUAUUAUUAUUGAUUCAUCUUGUUAACAUACAAAUUUGUGUAGCAUUGUGACAUUUUCGAAGAUUAAUUCAAGGGAAAUUCUGCUUGCAGGAAGUUCUCCCUUUCAGACUUCUUCCUGGCAAAAUGGUUCCAGAAGCCUGGAUUGGAGGAGUCUUAUGGAUCUGAAACUAAUGAAAGCAAGAAUAGUGUUGGCCUUCAUUGCUUCCAACUGGUAUGUCUGUCGAUGCACGGUAAGAAGCUUCAAAAAGCGUCUGGACAUUUUGUCAUCUGGCAUCUUUGAUUUCACCAUGUGUGCAUGAGGUGAAGUGCAACCAUACGGGAGGAAUAAAAUCAAAAGUGCUUGAAUUGGCAAGUCCUCAAUUCCGCAAGCCA
rnacentral:lncRNA from 1 species